CACCACCAUGCCUGGCUAAUGCUUCUAUUUCUAUAAAUGAAGAUGUGAGGCCGUGUUAGCUCUAAGAGAGCAGGGAUCUUGUUUCUUGGUCACCGUGAUAUUUCAGCUGCUGACCCAGUGCUCAAAAUAUGUUUACUUGGGACAACAUAGAUCUGGUAUCCAUAAUAGGUCUGUGGGCAGAACAAAGAUUUGUCACAUGGAAGUAGCUGUUGCUCAGCCAGGAAUGAUGAACAUUUGCAAAAAGAGGAGUUGUGUUUGUAGCCAUUGGAGAGAAUCUUUAACCCUGGACCAAGAGCACAUUGGAGAUUAAGAAACCAUGAGUCAGAAGAAGUCACAAUUCAUCUCCCUUCCAAGCAAAUGAUUUUACGGAUCUACCGUCCUUUCGGCUCUAUAUCUGAAUCAAGACUCAGCAGUUCUGAUUUCCU